rnacentral:rRNA from 1 species
CUUGUUGGUGAGGUAAUGGCUCACCAAGGCUUCGACGGGUAGCCGGCCUGAGAGGGUGACCGGCCACACUGGGACUGAGACACGGCCCAGACUCCUACGGGAGGCAGCAGUGGGGAAUAUUGGACAAUGGGCGGAAGCCUGAUCCAGCAACGCCGCGUGAGGGAUGACGGCCUUCGGGUUGUAAACCUCUUUCAGUAGCCACGAAGCGCAAGUGACGGUAGCUACAGAAGAAGGACCGGCCAACUACGUGCCAGCAGCCGCGGUAAUACGUAGGGUCCGAGCGUUGUCCGGAAUUAUUGGGCGUAAAGGGCUCGUAGGCGGUUUGUUGCGUCGGGAGUGAAAACUUCGAGCUUAACUCGGAGCUUGCUUUCGAUACGGGCAGACUUGAGGCAUUCAGGGGAGAACGGAAUUUCUGGUGUAGCGGUGAAAUGCGCAGAUAUCAGAAGGAACACCGGUGGCGAAGGCGGUUCUCUGGGAAUGUUCUGACGCUGAGGAGCGAAAGUGUGGGGAGCGAACAGGAUUAGAUACCCUGGUAGUCCACACCGUAAACGUUGGGCGCUAGGUGUGGGGCCUAUUCCAUGGGUUCCGUGCCGCAGCUAACGCAUUAAGCGCCCCGCC